rnacentral:rRNA from 1 species
GAUGAACGCUGGCGGCGUGCCUAAUACAUGCAAGUCGAGCGAACGGACGAGAAGCUUGCUUCUCUGAUGUUAGCGGCGGACGGGUGAGUAACACGUGGAUAACCUACCUAUAAGACUGGGAUAACUUCGGGAAACCGGAGCUAAUACCGGAUAAUAUUUUGAACCGCAUGGUUCAAAAGUGAAAGACGGUCUUGCUGUCACUUAUAGAUGGAUCCGCGCUGCAUUAGCUAGUUGGUAAGGUAACGGCUUACCAAGGCAACGAUGCAUAGCCGACCUGAGAGAGUGAUCGGCCACCUUGGAACUGAGACACGGUCCAGACUCCUACGGGAGGCAGCAGUAGGGAAUCUUCCGCAAUGGGCGAAAGCCUGACGGAGCAACGCCGCGUGAGUGAUGAAGGUCUUCGGAUCGUAAAACUCUGUUAUUAGGGAAGAACAUAUGUGUAAGUAACUGUGCACAUCUUGACGGUACCUAAUCAGAAAGCCACGGCUAACUACGUG